rnacentral:rRNA from 1 species
CAGUCGCCGCGGUAAUACGUAGGUGGCAAGCGUUGUCCGGAUUUACUGGGCGUAAAGCGAACGCAGGCGGACUGUUAAGUAGGAAGUGAAAGGUCGGAGCUCAACUCCAACAUUGCUUCCUAUACUGGCAGUCUUGAGUAGCGGAGAGGAAGGGGGAACGACACGUGUAGCGGUGAAAUGCGUUGAUAUGUGUCGGAACACCCAUGGCGAAAGCACCCUUCUGGACGCAAACUGACGCUCAGGUUCGAAAGCCAAGGUAGCGAACAGGAUUAGAUACCCCCGUAGUCCCUGUCUCUUAUAC